UUGUAGCUGUGCCAACCAAUUACCCACUUCUUCGUGGCCUUCAAUGGUUAAUUCUUGCAAAGGCAAUUGAGCAUCAAAAUUCCUUGGACCUAAAAAGCUGUAAUUUGAUCUGAGCACAAGAGACAAUUUUCUUAGUUGAGGGAACUUGAUGAUGCCAUCUCUGUUAUGAGACAAAGAGACUGGGAAGACAUAUUCCAGUUUACCACAGUAAGCUACAUGGAGAGUUUCUAAUUCUGGGAAGCAAGGAGACUGUGGAAUUAUUUCCCUUUCACCAUCCUCUUCUCUGAUAAUAUGCUUCAAUUCACGGCAAGCAAUUAUGGAAAGUCUAUCUAGCUUUGGCAGACUGUAAGCAAGGGACGGUGUGAAGAUAAAUGUCAGUUUGUCGAGAGCAUACAACUCCAGAUUAAUAAGACUUUGGAGGUUGACAUGUCUGGUGGGCCCCUUCCAUAUGCAUUUUAGCUCAG
rnacentral:lncRNA from 1 species